UAGGAUUCAACCAAUCUUUACAACGUAGGCCAGAUCUGGAAUUGGACGAGUGGAACAGAUGCAUCAGUUUGUUGGAUAAUGUCGCCAUUUCUACAAGGAGGGACACAUGGGAGUGGAUGGGUGGCAACAAUGGGGAUUUCACGGUAGGAGCGGUAAAAAAAUCCUUAGGUGGUGAAACUGAUUAUAGCAAGAGGUUCGUGUUAUGAGGAAUUAUAUAUUCUUAUGUUCCCAUUAAAGUCAAAGGGAACCAAAUGCAAUCUCAGCCAUUUGAUCAAAAUAAGAUUAAAUCCUGGCCCUAAUAAUUCAGAAAAAGAAGGAGAGGUUACAGGACAGUCAGUUUCUGGAUAGCUUUUGACUUGCUGAUUUCAAAAUCGUGGGAGAUUAUAUAGGGGCAGUUAUUAUUUAGGGACAGUUUUCGGCCUUCAUUCCCAUCUCUGAUUAGAAUUAACACCCACAAAUUCAUAUGAAAAUCCUCAGCCGCUGCGAUUUCUUCUACUUGAUGAUUUAUUUUGCAACCAAUGGAUCAAAUAAUGGUUAGGAGGCGACACUGACCAUGAAGAUAUAAAAUCCAAUAAUGGUGACGAAAAUGAGGAUGCAGAGAAUCGGGUGGUGCGUUGUCGUCGCCAAAGUAUUGAGGAGUUUUCUUCAAGCAGAGUCUCAUCUAUUGGUUUCGGAUCUACAACCGUUCGAUAACGCCUAGAUGUUUAUAUUUAUUCUAAGGACGAAACAAUUAUAACUUCAUAAUGAAUUGUAGCUGCUGAUUGGUACUGCAUUAAGGUAAUUGACCUGGUACAAGUAUUUCUCUCUUCUCACUCCCUUGUGUCGGCAUUAAUUAUCUAAAGGAGAUGGAGGUCGAUGCUUUCAGAAGACUUUUCCCUUACGAUUGCACGAAAGCAUUUGCUCGAGCAUGGACAGGCUGACGCCAGGUCACUCGGUAAAGCUAGGGAAACUUCAUUGGCUAUAGGUUAAAUGUCUAAUUUUGAAAUUCUUUUAUUCAGCUUAAUUGUUUUACCUCAUAUUUCAGCUAUACAUUCUGUAGUAUUGUUUGAAUUUUUUGGUGCAAUUUAGGGGUAACGGCGUCUUUAGAUGGACCAGCAAUAGCACAGAUAGGUUCCACUGUAAACCCUUUUUCAUCCAUUAAAUGAUUUUUUUUGUUUAAUUCUAUGUACAUAUAAAUCAACUGAAAGAUAAGCGUUCUUGAUUUGGAGGGUGUUUGGAUGUGCAUUUCGGAAGUGUUUAUGAGAUUUUGAAUAAUCAGAAUUCAGAUUAGACAGUGGCACAGCGCAAUGAAAUUUGAGUAAACCAACUAAUCAUAUACUUAUUUUCUGCCAUGUUUUUGUUUUACUAGGUUGGACAUAAACGAGGAAGAUUGUUAAUAAAUUUCAAAGAAGAAAAACAAUCGAAGAAAAAAAAACACAUUGGCUCGCAUACGGACAUAAUUGAAAAGAGGAUCAGACGAAUCUCCGAUAAUGUUUGUGUGCCUAACCGUGGGAAGCUGAAGCCGGAGCAGCGCAUAGGGUUUUAAUCGGCCAUGGCAUUAUCAGCUGUUUUUUGCGUAGCAGGAUGGCUUGCAAAUUUUUUCACCAUGUGAUCUCUUUUAGUUGAUACGGGUCGCUUCUUCACUGAUCUUGCAUAGGGUAUGUUCAUAUCUUCUCUUAACAGAAACUUAGUGUAUGCCAUGUUUUGCACUUGUAGGCUUAGUGUAUUUUUCCCAAUUUGCCCUUCAUCUAAACCAUUGACCGUAGCUUUUGUCUUUCGUUUUGUCACUUGGUAUUUUACGUUUCUUUUUUUCUUUAUUGCUCAUUUGAAAAUUGAAAUUUAAUAUAUUUCAGUUUUUCAACUGAGCAAUCUUUAUCUAGUGAUAUACUUAGGGGUCAUUUAAUUAUUCAUUGUAUAUUGUAUAUAGAGUUAAUUACAUAGUUAGUCCUUGUGGUUUGCACAAAGUAACAUACUUAGGUAUUAAUAGUUUAAAAUCACAUUCUAGGGUAUUAACUUUUCAUUUUGUAAAGUUUGGAGGUAUUAACGUUAUUUAUAGGCUUAAAAUCACAUUCUGUUAGUACCUAAAUAUGUUAUUUUGUGCAAACCACAAGGACUAACUAUGUUAAUACCCAAGAACUUAAUACCUCCAAACCUUACAAAAUGAAAAGUUAAUACCCUAGAAGGUGAUUUUAAACUAUUAGUACCUAAGUAUGUUAUUUUGUGCAAACCACAAGGACUAACUAUGUAAUUAACUCAAAUACCAGUUCUUGAACUGGACCUGAAGAACCAAUCAAUGUUCAAAUUGUUCAUGUACAUGUAAGUAAAAUGAGCUAAUAACAUACACAUUCAUAUCAUCUUGUAUGCCAUUUUCAUAUGCUUAAAAGUCAAAGCCCCUUCAGAUAAGUUUAGUAUUUGUUUUUAAAUAAUAAUUUUAUUUUUUCAAGUAAAAAAGCAAAAGGUGUGUUCAUGAAUAAUAAUAUGAUGGUACAAAUUAAUUUAAAAAAUCAGGUGUGUUUACAUCGGAUAACCGAGUGGAUUGCUGGUGCAUCCGACCCACCCUGAAGAAUUGGAGAAUUUCAGAAGUAAAGAGUUAAAUACAAAGUUAUAAUAUUUUCUAAACUAAGAAAUUUUCUACAUGAAAUUAUAUAUCUUCAAGUUACAAUUUUGUCUAUAUAAAAUAUCAGUAAGUAAUGUAAGAAAAUGUCUUCCCACAUAACAUCGCAUGUUCAGUAGUGAAAAUGCGGCACUAUAUUAUUGAUUUAAAAGGCAAAGUUCAUUAAUAGGUGGGUUUCUGCAAAUGGGGUUUGGCUAUUUGUUGGAUCAUUUGCCAAGUAGAGACGGUAGAUUUUAAAAGGGUAAUUUUGAAGAUUGAAUUCCAAUAGUUUGAUGAUUUGUUUUUAUUUAUCUAACAUUUAUUUUUGCAGUUGUUAUUGCGUUAAAAGAAGAGGUAAAGGUGUUCAAGAUAUGAUUAAAUGUGGAUAUGACGAUGCAAGGCAUCAUUGAAUUCCAAUAACUAUCAGUGAUGUGUUUAACGAUCACAGCUCUAAUCAUGUAUUAUAUAAGAGAUACACACCGAUGGAACAAAUAACAUUCUUUACCAUAAUUCUUUUAUUAUUGUUUUUUUGUUCUCAUGAAUUAUAUCUUGCAUAGUACAGGUUCAUGAUGCCAAUGGGGAAGCCGACUUACAUGUUACAUGAAAGUGAAGCAUCAAGAUGACAAUGUUGAAGCCGAGAUACACCAUGUCAAGAAAGAGGAGGUUAAAGUGUUUACCAUACUUCAUUUAUUAUUGUUUUUUCUUUAUUCUCAUGUAUUUUGUUUUGCAAAGAACGAGAUCAAGGUGAUAUUGUUAUAGAAUUAGUUAGCAUAAAUAUAAAUCUUGUAUUAAAAAUACUUCAGUAAAAACUUCUUUUCGUAUAAUAUAGAUGUAAAUAUGAACCCUUUUAAUAUACAUUCCACACGUAUUGUCUCUUUCAAAAGACAAAUAAUCUUUUUCUUUGAAAUGUAUACAAGGGUGUAAAAAUAUUUAUAUCAUUAUGACAUUGAAAAAUUCUGUCCACCGGACGGGUAUAGAACUAGUUACUUCUUUGUGGUUCCCUUAUGCGUUUGAUGUGAAUCUGCUGGACAUCUCUUCUAUUCAUGUUACGUUGCUUCAAUUAUUUGGAACCAAGUUAGUGUCUAGUGUAAGGUCAGCCUUAUCUUCGUUUUUCCGUUGAUCUAUUGGAGCUUCAUGAGUUCUCAGGUCUGGGAGAUAGGCCAAGGUGGCAAGGCAUUAUCAUGGUAGGGUGUUGAUGCUUAUUGAAAGUGAGAAACGACAAAAGGUUUUCAAACGCAGGCGUUGCUAUCCACAAAAUUAUUCAAGAUAUCGAGGUUUUUGGUUUUUUUUUGUAGUAUAGAAAUAGAUCUAAAAAUAAAUCGAUUAGU